ACUGGCUCUGCCCAUAAUCCUUGUCCCUGGGGAUGUUGAGAUUGGUGGAUCACUUGAAUUCAGAAGUUCUGAGCUGCAAUGAGGCUUAAGUCAAUCAGGUGUUCUCACUAAGUCUGGCACCAAUAUAGUGAACUCCUGGGAGUGGGAAGCCCCCAAGCCUGCUCAAAGAGGGACAGACUGGACUAGGCCAGAAACAGAGCAGGUCAAAUCUCCCAUGCAGAUCAGUAGUUGGGAUCAGGACUGUGAGUGGUCACUAUACUUGUGGUCUGGAUGAGACAGGGAGACCCAGUCUUAG
rnacentral:SRP_RNA from 1 species